UUUUCCGGUUGAUCCUGCCGGACCUGACUGCUAUCGGAUUGAUACUAAGCCAUGCGAGUCAUUGUAGCAAUACAAGGCAGACGGCUCAGUAACGCGUAGUCAAUCUACCCUAUGGACGGGAAUAACCUCGGGAAACUGAGAAUAAUGCCCGAUAGAACAUUAUGCCUGGAAUGGUUUAUGUUUCAAAUGAUUUAUCGCCAUAGGAUGGGACUGCGGCCUAUCAGUUUGUGGGUGAGGUAAUGGCCCACCAAGACUAUUACAGGUACGGGCUCUGAGAGGAGUAGCCCGGAGAUGGGUACUGAGACACGGACCCAGGCCCUAUGGGGCGCAGCAGGCGAGAAAACUUUGCAAUGUGCGAAAGCACGACAAGGUUAAUCCGAGUGGUUUCUGCUAAAGAAACCUUUUGUCAGUCCUAGAAACACUAACGAAUAAGGGGUGGGCAAGUUCUGGUGUCAGCCGCCGCGGUAAAACCAGCACCUCAAGUGGUCAGGAUGAUUAUUGGGCCUAAAGCAUCCGUAGCUCGUUUUGUAAGUUUUCGGUUAAAUCCAUGCGCUUAACGUAUGGGCUGCCGGGAAUACUGCAUAACUAGGAAGUGGGAGAGGUAGACGGUACUCGGGAGGAAGGGGUAAAAAUCCUUUGAUCUCUUGAUGACCACCUGUGGGCGAAGGCGGUCUACCAGAACACGUUCGACGGUGAGGGAUGAAAGCUGGGGGAGCAAACCGGAUUAGAUACCCGGGUAGUCCCAGCUGUGAACGAUGCAGACUCGGUGAUGCACUGGCUUUUGGCCAGUGCAGUGCCGCAGGGAAGCCGUUAAGUUUGCCGCCUGGGAAGUACGUACGCAAGUAUGAAACUUAAAGGAAUUGGCGGGGGAGCAC
rnacentral:rRNA from 1 species